UACGUAGUGGGCAAGCGUUGUCCGGAUUUAUUGGGCGUAAAGAGCGUGUAGGCGGCCACACAGGUCUGCUGUGAAAACUCGAGGCUCAACCUCGAGCUGUCGGUGGAAACCGUGUGGCUAGAGUCCGGAAGAGGAGAGUGGAAUUCCCGGUGUAGCGGUGAAAUGCGCAGAUAUCGGGAAGAACACCCGUGGCGAAGGCGGCUCUCUGGGACGGUACUGACGCUGAGACGCGAAAGCGUGGGGAGCGAACAGG
rnacentral:rRNA from 1 species